AUUGUUUUUCCUCCUUCCCUUCCAGAUUGGAGCCUCCCUCUUUGCGAGCAGUGAGGGCUCUGGCCUCUUUGUGGGACUGGCAGGCUCGGGGGCGGCUGGAGGCCUGGCGGUGGCUGGCUUCGAGUGGAAUGCCACGUAUGUGCUGCUGGCACUGGCAUGGGUGUUUGUGCCCAUUUACAUCUCCUCAGAGAUUGUCACCUUGCCUGAAUACAUGCAGAAGCGCUUCGGAGGCCAGCGCAUACGAAUGUACCUGUCCGUCCUGUCCCUGCUGCUGUCUGUCUUCACCAAGAUAUCGGUGAGCUUGCCCCCUGCCAUCCAU
rnacentral:lncRNA from 1 species